UACGGAGGGUGCGAGCGUUGUCCGGAAUCACUGGGCGUAAAGGGCGCGUAGGCGGCUCUUCCCAAGCGUGUGGUGAAAGGCCGGGGCUCAACCCCGGCUCGGCCGUGCCGGGACUGGGGGGCUGGAGCACUGGUAGAGGCGGGCGGAAUUCCGGGUGUAGCGGUGGAAUGCGUAGAGAUCCGGAAGAACACCGGUGGCGAAGGCGGCCCGCUGGGCAGUGGCUGACGCUGAGGCGCGACAGCGUGGGGAGCAAACAGGAUAGAAACCCGUGGUAAGUC
rnacentral:rRNA from 1 species